GCGUGCGUCUCCUGGGCUCCCGCGGUUGCCUUGACUACGGAGGGCGCGGUGGAACGGCGGAAGCUGCGAGUUUCUAGGAGCCGAGGAGCCGGGAGCAUGAGGACAUGGUGUCUGUGUCAGAUUUGUACUUGCGGGUUGUCAAGUUGCUAAGCAACACAAGGUCUCAAGCAGUUGGAAUAUUGAUGUCUAGCCUUCACCUAGACAUGAAAGAUAUACAACAUAGAGGAGGUUGCUGAGAAGCGAGAGCGUGCAAGAUGAAGGCAUGCAGAGAAGUUGGCAGUGGCGCAGGGCCAGGCACCCAUGGAGCCCACCCAAGAUGCAGGCACCCUUGAAAUGAGUCCACAGGGAGAAGAGCCAAAAGGUGCCAUUAGGCUUCUCAGCUCCAUUAGAGGACCUUCCCACGCUCCCCCACGUGGCGUACCACACGUUGGAAAACCUGUACCUUCUGAUGGGAAGGGAACUGGAAGACCUCGAGGAGGUGCCUCCAGGAAACGUGCUAGAUAGGGUGGUGCUGUGUGUCACAUCUGAGCUCCGUUCCGAGACGCGGCCUGACAUGUCACCCGAAGCACGUGAGAUCUCUGAGGGAAGUGACUUGGAUCUCAUUCUUGUUUUUUUGUUUGUUUAUUUUGGGUUGUGUCCUUUGGUUUUAACCUAGUGCAUCUCAGUAUCAGCAUGUACAGUAGUGCUGUGCUGCGCUUAGUCGCUCAGUCAUGUCUGACUCUUUGUGACCCCGUGGACUGGAGCCCACCACGCUCUAUCCACGGGGAUUCUCCAGGCAAGAGUACUGGAGUGGGUUGCCAUAUCCUUCUCCAGGGGUUCUUCCUAACACAGGGAUUGAACCCAGGUCUUCGUCAUUGCAGGAGGAUUCUUUACUGUCUAAGCCAGCAGGGAGGCCCAAGAAUAUUGGAGUAUGCAGCCUAUCCCUUCUCCAGGGGAUCUUCCUGACUCAGGAAUGGAACUGGGGUUUUCUGCAUUGCAGGCAGAUUUUUUUUUACCAGCUGAGCUACCAGGGAAGCCCAUGUACAGCAGUAACUUGCUGUAAAUUAUGUUAGAAAAGAAAAAAAAAAGUAACUGCUUAAGAAAUCUGUGAAUAAACUGAGGUUCCAUUCAUUUGGGGAUGAGAAAGAAUUUCUGCUCACAGUAAAGUCGGUUCAGAUGAAUAAGACACUUCUGGUUUUAAAGUAUCAGAAACUAUUCUGAUAUAAGGGUCUGUCUUCUUCCAGGAUUUUUUAAUUCAUUGAAUGUUGUUUUAUAUUAUAAAUCCAUACAUACUGUUCCUCAUCUCCAUAAUGUUCAUUACUUCUUUGCGGACUUCACUUUUAAAGGUCCUCAGUGCAACCUUGAAGACUCAGAUGAAGGAAUUUCCCUUGGAUCGUCAUAGUCACUCUGAGUGUGAUAUGGAAUGCUGGGUCCUGUUCUGAACCCUUGGAGAACUUGUCAGAUGUAGAGCUAUUUACGGGGGGACUCCUUGGGCUCCAGCUUCUUUUUAUGUUUUAGAGAAAUGGUCUAGACUGCUGGUCUGGAGCUGCUGGGUUUUGUCCACUUUAGUCCAAGAAAUUUGCGUUUUGAUGCUCCCUUGCAGAAAUACAUUAUUAAAACUUUUUUUUUCAUUGCUUUUUUGGGGGGCAUGAAUUUGUAGCCUCUCCUCAGUGUUACCCAUUCUUUUCACCUCCUUUGGAAAAUGCUGUUGAACCCUAACAAUUGACAUGACUUAUGAGCUUCCAUAACCAGCAAAACAUUUUUUAUCAGGAAGGACAUGGGAAGAUGAAUAGAAAGCACUCUGUUUUUGUUUAUAAGCCUUCCUUGUGAUUCCUGUGUUCCUCACACUCAAUUACUUUUGUUUCUUAAAUGGAAGGUGAGGUGGAAGAUCUCUAACACAACGUUCAAGUGAAAAGAGAAGUACUCAAUAAGUGUUCAGCGUGUGGUUUCUGUCGUAUGCCCUCCAGUUAAGGGUCGUUGUUUGUGCUCUUUCCCCAGCAGAGGUCAGGAACAUGACGUGCAGCGGUUCUGGUUUCCUUCUGCCUAUUUCUAGGUUGCCGUGUGCUGCUCAGCCCUGAGGCCAGCCGUGUUAUGUCUCUCUCAUCUGCCUCCCAAGGCAGCCGUAACCCUGCUGUCUGCAGGAGACCUACCACACAUUCAAGCUUUCUUCAUCUUGGAGAAGAGAGAAAUACCUCAUUCUCUUUUACUCAUCUUUUGAAGUUAUUUGGGAGCAGUGGUAGGAGCUAGGGUGUUGGUAAAGGUGCCCGUUGGUUAAGCAUUUGUUUACCAAAUUCAGUUGUUAAAAAAAUAAGAUGGACACAUAACUUUGGGACAAAAUGAAUUAAAGAGAAAAGUGAGAUAUAUUUUGUAGAAGCAUUAGGGUUGUAUUUAACUGCCAGUGAUCAAAAACCAACUGCACAGUCUUCAGUUCCCCUCAAUGGGAAGAUUAGGGUAGAGGACGGAAAGUUGAGGACUGGUGCUGUGGCUGUCUUAUGUCAUCAGGGAGCAGGGUGCCUCUCUUCACCUGUUCGCAGUCCUAGGCAUGGCGCUUUGUCCCCAUGGAACCAAGAUGGCAUCUGCAUCGACAUUGCUGGCAGGAAGAGGGCACACGGGCCAAAGCCCUUCUCAUAGCACUGAUGUUUCAUUUAUUUUUGUGGUCAUUAGUUUAUUUAUUUUGGAUGAUUUGGUUGAUGUUACUUUAAAACCCUUUGGCAGUGACCACCCCAUAUAUGGUCUAUUAGACAGAUAUCUAAAAUAUCUCUUACUAAGAAGUGCUCAUAAAUAGAGGCUUUAUACAUCUCUCCUAAAUAUCAGUUGUCAUGUGUGUUCUGAUUAUUCCAUUAUGCCAGCUUUCACCUCUCUCAGAAGGGGACUAGAAACUAAGAUAUGUUCGGGAUGAAGAGGUCUGGUUUGCUCUGUGGAGUGAUGAGGAAGUUCAGCGAUUUGGAUGUGGGAAGUGUGGGCAGGUGUGAAGCGGAGCUGGUGUUCAGCCAGCAGCCACUGGUGCCAGUCUUAAUGUAUGGAAACACCACAACCUGAGGUUGGAAUAAGUAGGCACUGCUCCCCGACCCCCACUGCCUGGCACCUUUUUUCCCCCUGGACUUCCCCAUAAUCCAGAGCUAAAGGGUUAAAUCUGGCACAUCUGGUGUCCCUGUUGAGCAAGCACUGGUAUUUUUAUUUGGGAAGAAAUGCCCUGUUAGUGACCAAUGUAUUAUAUAUAUCCUCGCUUCUUUGUGAUUUUGUCAUGUGGUCACCCCUAGCUGCAGUGAAAGCCAAAGGUUGAGUCUCUACAAUAAGGCAGGGGAUAUGGGAUGGUGAAUGGUUUUUGAAGAGCUUGUCCACACUCUCAAUCACAUUUCCUCCACAUUUGCCUGGUGUUGCCUAAAGCCCCUUCAUUACGGUUCUGUUUCUUUACAUUAGGGAGGAAGAGAAGUCUGCCAGAAUGAUUAUAAGUGCAACAUUGAAGGGAUUGGGAUCCAGCCAGCCACUUCAGCUUACCUUCUAAAUUGAAGCAUACAGAAAUUGUUUUCUGUCUAUUAACCUAGAUCUAUUCGAGCCCUGUGCUUGACUAUAAAGCAUGAGUUUACCAAAAUUCUGCUCAUAGUUCUGCCACUAACUAGUAUAUGGCCUCAGACCAACUGUAUAACCUUUCUGGUCCCCAGCUUUCCAAAAUAAUUUGGACUAGAGUAAUUUUUACUAACAAUCUUAUUGUAAAAAUAGAACAGCUACUU